rnacentral:sRNA from 1 species
GCAUCUAAGAGUUCUUGGGCGAGAGUAGUACUAAUAUGGAUGACCUCUCGGGAAGUCGUCCUGUUCCAUUCCUCUUUGUUUUUUUUUGGUUAAAACUUUAUGACUAUAACU